CCUCUUUCUCUGCAGCGUGCCUGUCCCUACCUCCCGUGACUCCUCAGGUUGUCUGUCCAUCUUCCCCAGGCCCGGGAGACACUUACAGGAAUCUGGAAAAUCUAGGACAGCUGGUGACCCAUUCUGGCUGGGUGAUGGAAGGCUCACUCGGUGCUGAGCCCCAGAAAAAGUGUGCCAGGCAGAGAUGCGCUUGUGCAGCUUGCACAAGUCCAUCUGACUUCCCCGCCACUGCCCGAAGUCCUGCGACGGCUCCACGGUGCUCCGCGGUGUGGCCUCGCACGGCUAUUUCCACGAAGACGCUGCGGUAUUCAGGGGAGUCAUCACCAUCCACUGCCCUGCAGGUUCAGGAUGAGUGUUUCGCCAGAGCCCCUUCCGAUGCAGGAGACAGGCAAGGAGGCUGUUUCAGGGAAGGCCAGUUUCUGAGUCUUGGGUGAAACUCCUUAAGCUUUCAUUUCUUAUGUGUAUG